rnacentral:rRNA from 1 species
UACGAAGGGGGCUAGCGUUGCUCGGAAUCACUGGGCGUAAAGCGCACGUAGGCGGCUUACUAAGUCAGGGGUGAAAUCCUGGAGCUCAACUCCAGAACUGCCUUUGAUACUGGUGAGCUUGAGUCCGGAAGAGGUGAGUGGAACUGCGAGUGUAGAGGUGAAAUUCGUAGAUAUUCGCAAGAACACCAGUGGCGAAGGCGGCUCACUGGUCCGGUACUGACGCUGAGGAGCGAAAGCGUGGGGAGCGAACAGG